UACAGAGGGUGCAAGCGUUGUUCGGAAUUAUUGGGCGUAAAGAGCUCGUAGGCGGUCUGUCGCGUCGGUCGUGAAAACUUGGGGCUUAACCCUGAGCUUGCGGUCGAUACGGGCAUGACUGGAGUUCGGCAGGGGAGACUGGAAUUCCUGGUGUAGCGGUGAAAUGCGCAGAUAUCAGGAGGAACACCGGUGGCGAAGGCGGAUCUCUGGGCCGAUACUGACGCUGAGGCACGAAAGCGUGGGGAGCAAACAGG
rnacentral:rRNA from 1 species